CUCUCUCCUUUCUUAAACCUUUUCCCCAUUAACAGUUUGAGAUGAUCGCCUAGUCUGUACAUGCCUUUCCCUCGCAAGGAGAUUUUAUUUAUGUCAAAGAUUUCUUUGUCCUGCUGCUAUUCUCCAAGAAACUCUCUGCAACUCUCUGACACAUGCUCAGUCUCCACCGUGGCUCUUAGUCACAGGCUUUGUUGCUCUAACAUUCCAUCCCCAUUAUUCUCAGCCAAAGAUUCUGAUUCCGCAGUUCCACCUCCCGGGCUGAUGGAUUGCUGGCUGACAGAGUCACUGCCUCGGAAGAUUCCAUCCUAUUGGUUGACAUCUCUGCCCUCCUGCCCGGGUGAUAUAUUCUGUUAUGUGAAGAAAAGACAGGCGUGUUUUAUGAUCUCAUCUUUGGUGUCUGAGCAUCCCUUGGAAGUCAUCUGCCUUAAACUUUGGAUCCUGAUCUCUGCCCUGGGCCUGUGCAACUAAUAGACCGAACUCUGAGUGUCAUCCUACACCUUCAAAGUGGCGCUCUGACUUGAUUUCUUUCUAUGUCAGAUCUCUCACCAUC